UACGGGGGGGGCAAGCGUUGUUCGGAAUUACUGGGCGUAAAGGGCUCGUAGGCGGCCAACUAAGUCAGACGUGAAAUCCCUCGGCUUAACCGGGGAACUGCGUCUGAUACUGGAGGGCUUGAGUGUGGGAGAGGGAUGCGGAAUUCCAGGUGUAGCGGUGAAAUGCGUAGAUAUCUGGAGGAACACCGGUGGCGAAGGCGGCAUCCUGGACCAUGACUGACGCUGAGGAGCGAAAGCCAGGGGAGCAAACGGG
rnacentral:rRNA from 1 species